rnacentral:rRNA from 1 species
AUGUCGUCGACGGCCACCGUCACCCGCGCCCACCUCGAGAACAAGCUCGCCCUCGCCAAACGCUGCUCCAGAGAGGCGACGCUCGCCGGAGCAAAGGCUGCAGCCGUCGCCACCGUCGCGUCUGCGGUCCCAACGCUGGCGAGCGUGAGGAUGCUGCCGUGGGCCAAGGCGAACCUGAACCCCACCGGCCAGGCCCUCAUUGUCUGCACCGUCGCCGGGAUGGCAUACUUCGUCGCCGCCGACAAGACCAUCCUCUCGCUGGCGAGGAGGCACUCGUACGAGAGCGCCCCCGACCACCUCAAGGACACCUCCUUCGCUGGCGCUGCCGCCGCUCGUCCCCGUCCACCGGCAUUCUUCAGGCCUUGA